UGUAGCUGAGUUCCCUUCGGGGUUUGGAGGCUGCUCUGAACUCCGUUAGGUCUUCUCUCACUAUCUUUUUCCUCAGGGUUUUGUUCCAAGGAAACCUCAGAGUAUUUUGCUUCUCUUCAAAAUCCCCCUUUGUUCUGUGUGGCUUUUGUUUCAAUGAAACUCUAGUAUUUAUAGGCUAAUAUUGGUAGCUUAGUGGGCUUUUGAGAAAGGUCCAAGUCCAAAAAAU
rnacentral:lncRNA from 1 species